GUUUUUUUUAGGGGUGGUAGGGGCACUCAAUAGGUCAAAUAUUUAUAAAUAAACUGUUUUUCUAUACUGUUGACAUUAAAAAUUUGUCAUUUUAACACAUUCUUCUCAUGUUUUAUUACUCUGCUUUACGAAAAUGUGUGGUUUUUUGAUGUUGACCUAUACUUCUGUUCUUAUAUGUUUGACAUCUUAAAAAAGGUGGCAACACAUACAUUUGCUUUGGUUAUUAAUAAAAUCAAACUAUACCGAGUGGAAAUUAAUACAGUGUUUCCACUUUCAACCAUUAAUAUUGAUAAGUCGCAUAAGGGUAGAGCUACCUUGAAUCUGCAUAAAUGGUAUUAAACAUGCAGUAUGCAGGUAUACAUUCCACUGAUUUCUUGUUCCGUGUUCAGGUUGUGAUUGCUGACUUUAUGUUUUCCUAGUGUGUGUUUUACAUAAAAUCUUGUCUAAAGUAUGCAUGUACUUGCAGAAAAAUUAAUUUAAAAAAAACCCCGUUUUAUAAUAGUUAACAAACACACACAUGUACAUAGCUGGGCCUCCAAAAAUGGAAAAUACAGAUGCUUGGAUAUAUUUUGGUAGAUGAUUGAAAUGGAAUUCACAAAUAAAAUGUUGAUAAAUUAAAAAAAAAUUAUUGGCUAAGAAAAAGUGACAAUGUUGAAAGUACUAAGGGCACAAACAGCAUCUGUGUACAUGUGUGUGUACAAAUGUAUAUUGUCCUCCUAAGAGGGGUAACAUAUAUACAUGUAGAAUAAAAUGGAGAAUAUGACAUGGAGACAAAGACAAAAAGGACUUUAAAUCGUGUGUGUUUUUGGGGAUUGUAGCCAAAACUCUUGCAUAUCAUUGCAACAUUACUGUGUUAAAACCUGUAGUAUGCAUUAUGUACAAGUAUGUGUUUGAUUUGUAAAAUUUUGUCUCUAGGAGGAACAAUCCUGCACAUCAUUUGUGGAAACGGAAGAGUUAGAGGCAGAACAGGAGGAACAAUCAUGAACAUCAUUAGUUGAAAUGGAAGAGUUAGAGGCAGAACAGUCAUUUCACCCAAGGAGGCAUGCAUAUGGAUUUAGGCUGUGAAAAAGAACCCCAAACAAAAUGGCGGCUGGUGAAUUAGAUAAAGUUUCUGAGUGUAGGAUCUGAACGGAGAAUAGGAAUACUGCAUCCCAUCUGACCCUGCAGGAAGAAAGACCUCUGGCAAAGACAAGAACAAAGGAGGGAGAACAUUUCUGGAAAUUUAUGAAAUCUUCAGUGUGUUUGGACACAGGAGCUAUGAUAUCCAUCCAUUCUGGUUGCCUCAGGAUCGAUUCUUGUGAAUAUAGAAAAUUGGAAAUUCAAAUGUUGGUUAUUUUACACUUUAAAAGUGCUUACUGCUUAGUCCAAUAUGUUGAUAAAUCUAGUCUUUUGUGAUUUUUCAGGCAAAUUAAAUCUCCAACACAUGUAUACAUUUUUGAUAAAUUACCCCAAGGACCCUAUAUUUUUUCAAAAGCAAUAUAUAUCUGAAGUAAAUAAAACCAUUUUUGUUGGGUCACACAAUGAAUAGAAAUGACAGAUGUAGUGCUUAUAUCAUGGAAUUUCUGUAAACAGAUGAUAUUUUUUACAAAGGUUUUAGCUCACCUGAGCCAAAAGCUCAAGUAAGCUUUUCUGAUCAAAAUUUGUCCGUUGUCUGUCGUCGUCGUAAACUUUUCACGUUUUCGACUUCUUCUCAAGAACCGCUGGCCAAUUUCAACCAAAUUUGUCACAAAGCAUCCUUGGGUGAAGGACUUUCAAGUUUGUUCAAAUUAAGGGCCAUGUCCCGUUCAAAGGGAAGAUAAUCACAAAAAUGCAAAAAUAGGGUGGGGUCAUUUAAAAAUCUUCUUGUCAAGAACCACUGGACCAGAAAAGCUGAAAUUUACAUGAAAUCUUCCUGAUAUAGUGCAGAUUCAAGUUUGUUCAAAUCAUGGCCCCCGGGGAUUGGAUGGGGCCACAAUAGGGGAUUAAAGUUUUACAUACUGAUAUAUAGGAUAAAUCUUUAAAAUUCUUCUUCUCAAGAACUACUGAGCCAGAAAAGCUGAGAUUUACAUGAAAGCUAUCUGACAUCAGUGCUUGAGCUGGGCUUCGCCAUUUUCGUCAAUGGCGAAUUUUUUUCAAAAAUGGCGAAAAAAAAUUGAAAGUGGCGAAAAUCCCUUUUUGCAAUAAAUUGUAUUUUUAACCCUUUGUCAGUGACACAUUAUCGCCUGUUUGUUUAUGCAGUCAAAAUCUGUUUAUUCAGUCAACGCGUGCGACCGGAAAUCUCGCGUCGCUCCAGUGCACACAGAGCUGGUCACAGCCUCAGGUAAUUUAUGGCUGCAAAAAAGUCGGUGAUUAUGUAAUAAAGUACAUCGGACAGCUGUUUAACCUGCUGUGGUCAAUUGUUUAACAUUUAAAGUCUUAUUCAUUAUCGUGUUAUCAUCUCCACAUUAAUGUCAAUUCUUAACCAGAGAACCGACCGGUAAUUAAAUUGGCCGUAUUAUUGUGUAUAAUGUAUAUCUGAAUACAUCAAUUGUUUGUUUUUGCGGCCAAACUCGUUGAUUACAAGAUUUUGAUUUUGAUGUGUUUGAUUUUAGUUCGAAUAUUUCAUAAACAAUGCGGUCGGUCACCAUUGAUAUGGACAUGGCAAUUUUAAUAAAUAAUGUUCUUUGAAGUUCGGUGCGCAACAGUAUAAAAAUGCUAAUCUCAUAAGACUAUGCACUCCAUUCUAUUUUGACACUAAACUUGUAGCUUCUGACCCUAGUCAGUCUAAAAUUAAAAAAAUAUCUUUGUUUGGCUUUACAGUCAACCCCACCUCCUCAAACAUCUGAUUCUGUCCAAAUUGCAAAAUCUUCCAUACAAAAACGGAAAUUUAAUAGGGAAUGGUUGAGAUACGACUCUAAAUUGGGCUUGACGUUUUGUGACAUCUGCAUUUCGGCCAAUGUACACAAUGUUUUCACUGAGGGGUGUAGCAUCAUGAAGUUUAUAUUUAUAUGAUUUAUUAUCUGAAUUUUGAUUUUCAUAAUAGAAUUUAUCAAACAAAUCAACUUCUUAUUAUUUCAGAAAGAAAUGUUUAGGUACGGUAGCUGGAUAUGAUUAAGUAAUGUAACUGAUUCAAAAUGCUAAAAUAAGUGUAAUGAAUAAAAUAAUAUAUAAUAUGAUGGAAAUAAUUGUAAAGCAUGUGAUUAUUUGUGCCGCGCCACUCCCCAAAAAAGUGGCGAAAGGGAAUUCUGGUCUAGUGGGAGCACUGUCUGACAUAAUGCAAAUUCAAGAUUGUUCAAAUCAUGGCCCCUGGGGUAUGAUGAGGUCGCAAUUGGGGAUCAAAGUUUUACAUGCAAAUAUAUAGGAAAAAUGUUUAAAAUUGUUCUUCUCAAGAACCACUGGACCAGAAAAGCUUAGAUUUACAUGAAAGCUUCCUGACAUAAUGCAGAUUCAAGUUUGUUCAAAUCAUGGCCCCUGGGGGUAUGAUGGGGCCACAUUAGGGGAUCAAAGUUUUAUAUACGAAUAUAUAAGGAAAAUCUUCUUCUCAAGAACCACUGAGCCAGAAAAGCUGAUAUUUACAUGAAAGCUCUCUGACAUAUAUUUCAGAUUUCAGUUUGUUAAAAUCAUGGCCCUCAGGGUAGGAUGGGGUCACAAGGGGGAUCAAAGUUUUACUUACAAAUAUAUAGGGAAAAUCUUUAAAUAUGAGCUAAGGUGACUCAGGUGAGUGAUGUGGCCCUUGGGCCUCUUGUUUAAAGCCUUUCAUAAUUACCAAAUUUAAAAAUUGGUCUGAAACUGGAAGGUACAAACGAAUCCAUUAUCAUUUUGAAUAUUCAUAACCUAGUAUGUUCUGUUGACAUGUUUUGUUUAGAAUUUUGUUCAGAGAAAUGUAGUUCAAAUGAUCACAAAAUAUACACUGUCAUUGGUUUUGGUAUACAUAUAAAAGGUAAAUCCUGGUUUACCAUGUUCAUAAUAUAUGCCAUGCAAUAGAACUAAGUGCUCUGUUGUUUAAACUGUGUAUUGUUAUAGGAUUUUCGUUUAGUGUUUAUGACUAUCUCAUGUGAGCAUUACUGCCUAUGAUAUUUUCUCUUUAAAUAUAAUUGUUUUGAAAAUAUGUUGAUAAAUGACCACUACAGUUUGAUUCAUAUGUAUAUUAUCUGAGUUCAGAAUGUUCUCUUGUGUUUUGUCUUAUUGAGAUGAUAUAUUGUGCUCUUUGACUUAAUGAUGCUGCUUGAAGGCAUAAUUGUUGGACCUAUAGUGUAUUCAUUUUCAAAUGUAUUGAAAUAUAAUUUUUGAUAAUAAUGAGGCAAUGCUAUACUUGUUAGGGUAGUAAAAUGCACCGGUAAUUCAAAUGUACAUUGAGGUCUUACCCGAAUGUUUUUAUUUGGUUACAAUUUUGGUUUUUGAUAAGAAUUUUAGGUCAUAUAGGUAAUCUCUGGUGACCUGUCUUCUGAGUAAAUUCAGGUAACAAUUGAACAUUUUGUAAGAAAAACGUAUGCAUAGUCAGGUAGAGGAGGAAGGCCUUUACUAAAAAUAUAGAUGUCGUAAUCCAUGGGGUAGGGUUUCUGACUCUGGGGUAAGACCAAACUUGGUAUACAUAGUGCAUAUGUGUUAAAGGCAUAGGAUCUAUCUUUUAUCUCAAAAAUGACAUCACAAUAUUUUGCAAGAAGAACUCCAAAAAACAAAUUUGUAGUAUUAAUUAUGAGUUAUCUAUAGCUGCAGCACUUUGAAAUUUAAGUCAUUUUGACGUUUUAGCCCUAUUUAAAAUUUUUGUCAGGAGGACAAUAUAUUAAACUGGUACCCCGCUGAAUGUUGGCUACACACAAACAUAAGAGAUGCGAAAUCAACAGGGUACCAAUUUAGGCAAAUGAGAACAGGGAAUUAUUUUGUAAUUACUAUCGUUAUCCAAUGUGUUUGUAAACAUUCUGAAGAACUUUGUGUGAUUUUCUAGUUAAUAUGAUCAUAAAUUUCGCCACCUUUUUGGAACAUGCAACAUUUCACCAAUAUCUUAGACCCUAUGCCUUUAAGGUAAUUCCACCCCUGUAGAAUUAUAGGUUCAAUCUUAUAUUUGAUUAAUGAUUAUCUUAGUAACAAAUAAAAAUGAUAAGAUAAGUAUGUUGCAGCAUUGAUAAAAAGAUUUAUCAAUUAGCACGCAUAUACCUGUUAUUGAUGUCAGAAAAUUACAAUUGUCAUUAAAUACAUUUCAUUAUCACAAAAACUUGUUAAAACGAUAUAAUGGUAUUCAUAACAAUUUCAUGAAACUGUUUCUUAAAAAAAAUAUACAAUAUGUUUGUGAAAAGUAAAAGAUAUCUAUGCAUAAAAAAUUGAUAAAUAAUUUAAAGAAAACGGAGUUAUUACCCUUGGAUUCGGUAUUUCGAAACUCAUACGUGACUUUUGAAAUAUCUUGUGGUUAACAAGAUAUUUUACAAUAACUAUUGAAAAAGACUUCAACAAAAUUUAUGUUCCGAUCAUGCAUAAAUCUUAUCAAAUCAUUGACUUUGCGAAAUCUUAUGACAUCACAGGAGAGUGGAACUACGUUACACAAUUAUAAAAUAUCUUUUUAGCUCAGCUGAGCUGAAAGAUCAAGUGAGCUUUUCUGAUCGCUUUUUGUCCUUCGUCUGUCUGUCUGUCUGUUAAACAUUUACAUUUUCAACUUCUUCUCCAAAACCACUGGGCCAAUUUUAACCAAUGUUGGCACAAAUCAUCCUUGGGUGAAGGGGAAUCAAAAUUGUUCAAAUGAGGGCCAACCCCCUUAUCCAAGGGGAGAUAAGAGCAAAUCAGUAAAAACACACUGAAAAUUUUUAAAAAUCUUCUUCUCCAGAACCAGUAAGCCAAUUUCAUUCAAACUUAAUGCAAAUCAUCCUUAGUUGAAGGGAAUUCAAAAUUGUUCAAAUUAAGGGCCAGGUUUUCUUCAAAGGGGAGAUAAUCACAAAAGUGUAAAAAUAGGGUGGGGUCAUUUAAAAAUCUUCUUCUCAUGAACCACUGUGCCAGUAUAGUUCAAAUUUACAUGGAAGCUUCCUGACAUAAUGCAGAUUCAAGUUGUUCAUAUCAUGGCCCCCAGGGGUCAGGUGGGGCCACAAUAGGGGAACCAUAUUUUAUAUGUGUUUAUAUAGGAAAAAUCUUCUAAAAUCUUCUUCUCAAGAACCAUUGAGCCAGAAGAGUUCAACUUUACAUGGAAGCUUCCUGACAUAAUGCAGAUUCAAAUUUGUUCAUAUCAUGGCUGCUGGGGGUCGGGUGGGGCCACACUAGGGGAAACCACAUUUUAUAUGUAUUUAUAUAGGAAAAAUCUUCUUCUCAAGAACCAUUGAUCCAGAAGAGUUCAAAUUUAUAUCGAAGUUUCCUGACAUAGUUCAGAUUUAAGUUUGAAGCUUUAUGGCAUAGUUCAAAUUAAAGUUGGUUGAAAUCAUGCCCCCCGGGCUUUCAGGUUUUGCCACAUUAAGGGAAACCGUAUUUCCUAUGUGUAAAUAUAUGAUAACUCAGGUGAGCGAUGUGGCCCAUGGGCCUCUUGUUUAAAGGUUGAUAUUAACAUGAAACUAAAUUAAUAUGUGGUAGUCCUUAAUAAAAAUUGUAAAAUAUAUGAUUUCCUGGACAAGGGUUUAGUUUCCAGGAUAAGGCCAAGAUUAUAGUAGCAACUAUUGUCUUUAUUGUGAUAUGGUAAAUAACUAAAUCCAUGCUUAUUAGAAGCAGAACAGGAUAUACCAAAGUGGUGAUUUACACAACCCCAAGGUUUUGACUGUACACAGGUCCAAAGUAGUCAUAUUAUUUAAUGUUGUAUAUAUAAUGUCUCCUUAUUGGUGAAAUAUUCUCGAAAGGGACAUUAAACAAUACACAAUCAAUCAUCUGGACUGUAUAGGCACUUUCGGGGCAUUUAAGUUUUAUGAACACAUCUUGUUUUAUUCUGUUUUGUAUGUUAGGAUUUAAUUUAGGUAUGCAGAACAGGAAUUUUUCUCAAGAUUUCAUAAUCCUUGGGGCUAGUGAUACUUUUAAUUAAUUCUCAUGUACCCAAUAAGGCCUGUGGGCCUUUUAUUUCAUGAAAUGCAUUAAAUUCUGAUUGAUAUGUCUUUUGUAAUUUUUCAUGAAAUGGAUGAAAAUCCUGUAUGUUUUAUUAAUAUUUGACCAGCAACCAUACUUGAAAAUAAUUUGUAUGACAUGCCAGUUUUUGUUACAAAGUAACAAUUAUAUAAUGAAUAAAUUUCAUGUUGAAGUUAACUUUU